rnacentral:rRNA from 1 species
UACGAAGGGGGCUAGCGUUGUUCGGAAUUACUGGGCGUAAAGCGCACGUAGGCGGAUAUUUAAGUCAGGGGUGAAAUCCCAGAGCUCAACUCUGGAACUGCCUUUGAUACUGGGUAUCUGGAGUAUGGAAGAGGUGAGUGGAAUUCCGAGUGUAGAGGUGAAAUUCGUAGAUAUUCGGAGGAACACCAGUGGCGAAGGCGGCUCACUGGUCCAUUAC